GAGCUCACAUGUCUGUGCUUUAAUUGCUGACUCUGCUGUUUGGAGUGGCCCCCAAGUACAGUGUGCAGGUCCGUGGGCAGUUCCCAAGUGCACGGGCUGCAACGUGCCUUACGGGGACAUACACGUGUUGGAUGAGCUUCAUUCAGCACAACUUACACUGCUGGGCUGUACGUUCCAUGCGAAUGAAUCAUCAAUAGCUACCAAAGAAGCUGUCUUUAAACUGAAAACACACGCAAGUCUCUGUAGUGACGGGUUGACCGAACUGUGGCAUCCUGAUGCUUGCAGGACCCCAACCCUGUGUUUCCCCAAGGGGUGACGACUCAGUCCACAAUAAAGCGAAAGCGGUGACUUCCAGAACCACCCACGAGACUCCGGACCUUCUCAGAGGGCAGCAGGCGAACAGAAACUCUGCCGCCAUGAAACACUAAGUCACCUCCCGCCGGCCCAGCCCCCAGCGGCCAGCAUUUACUUUCUGUCUAUGAAUUCCUCGCCUGCAGAGAAGUGGAGUCACCCGGGAUGUGUCCUCCUGGGACUGGCUGCGUCCAGAACCAGGUCAGCGCCCAGCUGUGUGAAGGGAGAACACAGAGUGACCGAGGCCCCAGCAGCUCAUGGCCACUCCGCCUCUUCUCCAUCGACGGAUGGACAACCAUCCACAGGACACCCAGGGCCCCUGAGUGUGUGUGUUAAGUCGGACCUCAUUCUUACAAAGGUUGCAGAUCAACGUCCGGACUUGCACUGGGGGACUGAGGCCCAGGGGGGCAGUGACUUCUCUCAAGCAGAGGCCUCUGUGGGCCCCAGGGAGCCGCGAGUCCAGCUCUCCAGUCUGGGUCUCGGGUUCUGGGGGAAACGCUCUGGGGAGAUGCUGACCCACUAGGAGCCCGUGAGGCAGCCCGGAUGGAGCCGGAGCUGGGGGCGGGGAGGGGCAGGUUCUGUCUGCUGCCGGGUCUGGGGGCCGCCAGCCGCUCCUUCUCCUCCUGUUUCCUAGGCGCCUGGGCCUGUGGCUCACUGACCCCAUGUGUAAACCC